ensembl:snRNA U6 U6 spliceosomal RNA
UUGUUUUGGCAGCACAUAUAUUAAAAUUCAAAUGAUUAGAGAUUUGCAUGACCCCUGCACAAAGAUGACAUGCACAUUUCUAAACAAUUCCGUAUCUUU